rnacentral:tRNA from 1 species
GUCUGGUUAGCUCAGUUGGUAGAGCGCUCCACUGGAAUUGGAGAGGUCGCGUGUUCAAUCCCCGGACCACGCG